GAUGAACGCUGGCGGCGUGCCUAAUACAUGCAAGUCGAGCGAACGGACGAGAAGCUUGCUUCUCUGAUGUUAGCGGCGGACGGGUGAGUAACACGUGGAUAACCUACCUAUAAGACUGGGAUAACUUCGGGAAACUGGAGCUAAUACCGGAUAAUAUUUUGAACCGCAUGGUUCAAAAGUGAAAGACGGUCUUGCUGUCACUUAUAGAUGGAUCCGCGCUGCAUUAGCUAGUUGGUAAGGUAACGGCUUACCAAGGCAACGAUGCAUAGCCGACCUGAGAGGGUGAUCCGCCACACUGGAACUGAGACACGGUCCAGACUCCUACGGGAGGCAGCAGUAGGGAAUCUUCCGCAAUGGGCGAAAGCCUGACGGAGCAACGCCGCGUGAGUGAUGAAGGUCUUCGGAUCGUAAAACUCUGUUAUUAGGGAAGAACAUAUGUGUAAGUAACUGUGCACAUCUUGACGGUACCUAAUCAGAAAGCCACGGCUAACUACGUG
rnacentral:rRNA from 1 species